rnacentral:lncRNA from 1 species
UAUUUAGUGGCCCAUUCGACAUGGAAUUGUAGAAGACUGGGAUUUAAUGGAAAGAUUUUGGGAGCAAUGCAUUUUCAAAUAUCUUCGAGCUGAACCAGAGGAUCAUUAUUUUCUGCUAACUGAGCCUCCAUUAAACACACCAGAAAAUAGAGAAUAUACUGCAGAGAUUAUGUUUGAAUCUUUUAAUGUACCUGGACUUUACAUAGCUGUGCAAGCUGUGUUAGCUUUAGCAGCCUCAUGGACAUCAA